AGCAGCCGCGGUAAUUCCAGCUCCAAUAGCGUAUAUUAAAGUUGUUGCAGUUAAAAAGCUCGUAGUUGAAUUUCGGGAUUGGCGCAUCGGUCGUGCCUUACGGGGUAUGAACUGGUGCAGUCAAUUUCUCACCUUCUGGAGAACCGCGAUGUCCUUAAUUGGGUGCCGCGGGGGAACCAGGAC
rnacentral:misc_RNA from 1 species